GGCUGAUUGUCCAGGCAAAUCCGGAUAAUCAAGGCUGAGGUGUGAUGACGAGGCACUACGGUGCUGAAGUAACAAAUGCCCUGCUUCCAGGAAAAGCCUCUAAGCAUCAGGUAACAUUAAAUCGUACUCCAAACCGACACAGGUGGUCAGGUAGAGAAUACCAAGGCGCUUGAGAGAACUCGGGUGAAGGAACUAGGCAAAAUGGUGCCGUAACUUCGGGAGAAGGCACGCUGGUGUGUAGGUGAAGUCCCUGCG
rnacentral:rRNA from 1 species